GGGCAUUGUCAUUACCUAAGUCAGCCAACUUACAACACAGAAUGUUCGAAACUUUCCUUACCCAAACAAAACCUUCCUGAUCUUUGUGAUAGGCAUCUAUCACUGGUUCAGGAAGUAAAACAAAAGUACACAAUUUAUUAUAGCCAGGCUAUAUAAGAGCUACCUUUGCCAAAAGAUGUGCCACACUAUUUCCUUCACGAAAGUUAUGCUUCACCACGAUCUCCCCCAUUUGCAUUGCCUUCUCUAUUAACCACCUGCAGUCAUAGAUUAAAUCAUUGAUUUGUGGACUGGAUUUAUUUUGAGUCCCUUCAUAAUAGGUGACUGGAUAUAGUGGGCUUUAGUGACUACUGUCCAGCUUGUUUUUGGUGUACUACUUUAUGGUGAAUUUCUGGAUUAUGGUGCCUAACUUACCUUGAAAAAGGUGCCUUGUUGAUCAUAUAUGUACUUCUGGGAAAAUCCUUGAAAGCUCUUACUAAAGGAAAGGCAUCAUGUGCUAUCAAAAAGCUUUAUUUGUUACAAGGAGAAGUGAAUGCUUUAUUGAUUCAACCUGGUGACGUACUAAAAUGCUUCUUGUUAUUAAAGCUCCUGUCAGUGAUGUGGUUGUUAUUUAUAUAGAGAUUUGGAUACAUGGUCCUGAUUAUUGGAUAAGCAGUGACCAUAAUGGUUUUCUAGCUUUCCAUCAAGCAAAAUUAGGAUAUGGUGAAGAUCUCACUGAUCUGAGGAAAUUUGGUGGAAGGCAAUUGACUUUUAUUCCAUAUGUCUCUUGGUUUUUCUUGGUCCAUUUGACAAUUGAUCAUAGUUUAAGGUUGCAAAGGAGGAAAACUCAUCUUUCUCAAGGUUGUUGGGUUGUGCUGCAACAACAUAUGCAUGUAGCUGCUUUUCGUGCUUGGGUGAUGUUGUUUCUUCUCUUGGAGAAGUAUACUUAUGGUGGCAUAGUGCUCUACCUUGGAGAACAUAUUUAACAUUUGUUGAUGAGCGAAUUGAAAAUUCAAAGAGACACAAUAUCUCUCUGGACUUUUAUCUUGGAAAUGGAAAUACUAUUACUGGAUCAGUUCGUGAGUUCACUAAUGAUGUCGUUGGGUUGUUUAUUUCUGUUGUUAUACAUCUUGAUAGUGAUGGGUUUGAUGAUAAUUUUGAUUCCCUACUGUUGGUUCAAGAUACUACUCUAACUGGUGGAAUGGUAACUUACUCUUCUAUGUAUUAUUCUGUCAUAUCUAGAGGUGGUAAGCUCACCAAGGCUGUUGAUGUUAGUGUCAAUCUUACCAGACUCAUUCUUGCUGCCAUCCAUGGUAUAUUAGUUGCUGUUUUUGGAACUGUGAGUGACUUGGUUUGGGUUUUAUGGCUUCACCGGUCCAUAUCUCCAACCUUGAGGACAAGGUUGUUUUAAGGGGGAUGGAUUGUUACGAAUAUGGUCUAAGUUUAGGGGUUUUUAAAUGAAGAUUUUUGGUUUUAUUAUGUGGUGUCCUUAGUUUAUUUUAUGUUAGUUGAAUCCUGUUGUUAUUCACAUUUUAGUACCUAAAGAUGUCCACUUUUGUUGGUCGACACGUGUCCAGUUUGUUAGGCUACUAGUUGUUUAAUACCGUGUAUUCCCUGUUUUGUUUAGUUAUGUUGAAUGAGAAAUCAAUUUUAUCUUCCUGUUUU